rnacentral:rRNA from 1 species
GAUGAACGCUGGCGGCGUGCUUAACACAUGCAAGUCGAGCGAAGCGAUUUUAAGGAAGCUUUCGGGUGGAAUUAAAGUUGACUGAGCGGCGGACAGGUGAGUAACGCGUGGGUAACCUGCCUCAUACAGGGGGAUAACAGUUAGAAAUGACUGCUAAUACCGCAUAAGCGCACAGUGCUGCAUAGCACAGUGUGAAAAACUCCGGUGGUAUGAGAUGGACCCGGGUCUGAUUAGGUAGUUGGUAGGGUUAAGGCCUACCAAGCCGACGAUCAAUAGCCGACCUGAGAGGGUGACCGGCCACAUUGGGACUGAGACACGGGCCAAAAUCCUACGGGAGGCAGAAGUGGGGAAUAUUGGACAAUGGGGGAAACCCUGAACCAGCGACGCCGCGUGAGUGAAGAAGUAUUUCGGUAUGUAAAGCUCUAUCAGCAGGGAAGAAAAUGACGGUACCUGACUAAGAAGCCCCGGCUAACUACGUGCCAGCAGCCGCAGUAA